rnacentral:rRNA from 1 species
GACGAACGCUGGCGGCGUGCCUAAUACAUGCAAGUUGAGCGCUGAAGGCUGGUACUUGUACCAACUGGAUGAGCAGCGAACGGGUGAGUAACGCGUGGGGAAUCUGCCUUUGAGCGGGGGACAACAUUUGGAAACGAAUGCUAAUACCGCAUAAAAACUUUAAACACAAGUUUUAAGUUUGAAAGAUGCAAUUGCAUCACUCAAAGAUGAUCCCGCGUUGUAUUAGCUAGUUGGUGAGGUAAAGGCUCACCAAGGCGAUGAUACAUAGCCGACCUGAGAGGGUGAUCGGCCACAUUGGGACUGAGACACGGCCCAAACUCCUACGGGAGGCAGCAGUAGGGAAUCUUCGGCAAUGGACGAAAGUCUGACCGAGCAACGCCGCGUGAGUGAAGAAGGUUUUCGGAUCGUAAAACUCUGUUGGUAGAGAAGAACGUUGGUGAGAGUGGAAAGCUCAUCAAGUGACGGUAACUACCCAGAAAGGGACGGCUAACUACGUG